UUCCACCACUGUAACACUGCUUUGUUACAGGUACUGAGCAGGGCAGUUUCCAGAUGAGUUGUUAUGGAGUUUGGUGCCAUAUGCAGAAAAAGCAGUCUUUAUGCCAUUUGCAUUACUUUUAGUUGAAUGAGUCUGGCUCUGUUCCUGGAAAUGAUGUUGCCAUUUUUGCUGUCUCUUCUGCUUCAGGAUGCCGUUAGGAUGGGCUUGUGUGGAGAGGUGUGGCAUCAGGCAGCACAGUGGGUUUGGGAACUGCACGCUUGUGGACAUUUCACAGUACUUUCUGCUGGUGUCAUUGGCCUGAGGACAAAUGUCCUUUACUUUAAAACGGAAUUAGGUCUUGACUGCUUACGGCAUGGCCAACCCUCAGCAGGUAGUGUCUUAUCUAGAUUUCCAGGGAAGAUCCUGCUGCUGCCCGUUGGUUUAGAAACAUUGCUUUUGACUAUGACUUUCAGCUGAAUAACUGAAAAGGUUUUUCAGCAGCUGCUUCAUUUCCUGCACUAGUUCUGACCAAAUCCGAUGUUUUCUAGGAAACCUCCUGCUGCUUCCCUGCUGUCACCAUGGAGAUGAUGCUCUUGGUGCAUGUUCCUCCUCCCUUCUCUUGCAGAGGGGAAAAGUGAAGGAGUAAUUCCUGCUCUCUUGCCUGCAGCUGGAGACAAGCCACAGUGUUUGCCGAAGCGUUUCCAUGACUUGGGUCUGUAUUGUCAAAACUGCCUGAAAUGGCAUUGCUGUAGCUCAUCCCUUAGCAUGCACGACCCUAAACCAAUGUAUUUGGAGCUACUUUUAAGAGCUGUAGUUUAUUUUGGAAAGCAGGAGAAGCUGUUUGUUCAGAUGUCUUAUCUCUAAUCUCAGUUUUCUACUUGAGUGCUUGAGGAUAGGAGUCAGGAAGCAGCUGAACUAGAAAAAGAAAAGGAGAGGAAUGAAGAAGGGAAAUCAAAAACACUUGCCAAAAGUCUCUGAAACUUGUACUCUUGAUCUCAAAUUUUCUGGCGUUUGGCAGUGCUUCGCCUGUGUCCCUGCUGAUUAUUGCUUGAUGGGCUGGGUGGCCACUGUAACUCUUGGCAAAUAGCAGGGGCUGUCUGACUUAAUCAGUAGUCUGUUGGUGCAGGCAGCUUUUCAUUUCAGGUUGCCUGAAGGAAACCUGCCAACAAUCCAGAAAGCCUCUCUGGAAUACUGAAAGAAAAAUAGAAGUUUUUCUGCGGCGGUUGUGGAGGAUGGGGUCUGUAAGCUGCCGCUCACCCAGCCUGCGUGGGGAAAUGUCUCUGCUGGGCGAAAGGCAGGAGUGCUGAACAAGGGAUGCUGUGCACUCCAGGGGAGUGUGGAGCAUUCUUUCAACCCAACAGACACAAUAAAUGAGGAAACCUCUGGGCAUCUCUUCAGUGCAGAAUCCACCAGGCUUUGAAAUGCUGUCCUAGCCCAAACGUACACCAACGCUUAUUCAAGGUACGUGCCUUAAGAUGCAGAAUCUUGCUGAGAACCAGACUUGUCUGUGGUACAGAAGCAAGCCAUUUAAUGGUUACAGUACAGGAGCAGGCACCUAGUCUUAUUUUUGUUUGAAGAUUAGCAUUAAAACAAAUUCCAGUUGACCGUUAGCAAAGGAUGUAUGUAGCUUAAGUGACAGUGCUAGUCUGAAUGUACUUACAUAUUGUGCAGAUACGUUAUUUCAUUUCUACAAUUUACCCCUAGGGAAUGGAAAAGUGUAAUUUUUUUAUGUUUGCAGAUCGUGAUAUUAAAACCCAGGCCUCCUAAAAUAUGCAAGGUUGUCCUGCACGGAAUUUAUGUCUAUCUCAGCAGGAACUGCAGAUAUUGCACAAAGCUUUUGCCCAGAAAGGUUAAAAACAUCCUGUCUGUUCAGCAAGACCAUGACUGAGCUAGAAAUAGUUCAGACGCCUGGGGCAGGAGAUGGUGAGGGAAUAGCUAAACCACUGAGUUAAUUCAAAACAGAAUAAAAACUUUUCUUUCAUUAUAUUGUCUUAUUAUUUUAUUGUUUUUUUCUGGCCACUUAUUUUACCUACCUUUUGCUUUAAGUGUAGAACAUCAAAUUUUGUGGAAAAGGGUAUUUAUUUCUCAUAGCUCUUUACACUGGAAAAAUAAUGGGACCUUUUAGUGCUCAUAUUAAAUGUUAUUAAUAUUGAUUAAAGCAUCAUUACUACUAUUAACCAGCAAUAUAUAUAAUGAUAAGAAUGUAGUGUGGGUGACCAGUGCCCUUCUGGUCGCUGCUCUGCAUGAGGGGACCCGUGCAGGGCUGGGCUCGCCGUCGCAGGCAGGGCUGCCCCAGUUACCUGGAGAUGAACUGGACUAUCGAUGGCAGCAUUUCAUCAGUCUGGUUUAUGCCUUAAGUGUAGCUCUAGGCUAAAAGGUAAUUUAAAAUGGCAUUUAAAUGUGAAUUCCUUAGCUUACAGGCUGUUUACAAUGGGCAUGAAAGGCAGAACAGAACUCACCCGAGAGCUUGCUAUGAGUUUGGAGUGAGGAGGGCGCUGAUGAAGGCUCACAAAGCUGCGGUGGAAGGGUCUGCUACUUGGGCAUUCGUAGACGUUCAUGAAUUAAAAAAUUUUUUUUCUGGGGGCUAGUAACAUGUCUUCCCCAGAGAAUGAGACAGCCUGGGGGCUCUGUUCCUCCUCUCUGCCGUUACUCAGCCUCCUCCCGUCACUCCCAGCGAAGGGUCCAGACCUGUCUCACAGCACGUCUUCACUAGGGGAGUAGGGAUUGCCUCUGUGAACGGUCCCACACGCUCCACCUGGUUGCUGCUUUGUUUCUGUCCCCCCGCCCCAGCCCACUCGCGGGUGGGGUGAGAGGCAGACAAGGCCUUGAUACUCAGCAUUAAGGAAAACAUCUCUGUAUUCUCAACGCUGCCUUCGGCACAAACCCGAAGCAGAGCCCCAUAUGUGCUAUUGUGAAGGAAAUUAACUCUAUCUCAGCCAAAGCCAACACACUAGGGCGUUUGCCGGUGGACAGAUUCGAUUUAGUUCAACACCAUCAUACUAGAAAGCACUUAAAUAAAAUUAAUAGCUAAUGCAGCAUUUGUCAAGAAGCAAGAGAGUAUGGCUGUGCCAUGUUUCAGCCUGUCAAUACUCGCCUGAUGCCCGCUGCCUGCCUUCAGGGCGUGGGAGAUGCCACAGGCCCCGUGCCAUGGCAAUGCUCUCCUCCCCCGGGUACGGCUGCCACCCAGAGGAGCCCUCUUUAAUUUCACCUGCACUUGGGCACUUGAAUUUAUCCGAGACUGAAUAUUCCUGAAAUAAUCAGGUCGGUGUAACGAUCGGACACGGCAGCAGGAACCGCACUGCCCUGGAGCCGAUCACCGAGGGGUGAGACAAACCUUUGGCUGCUCUUUAGCCCAGGUCCAGAGGUCUGUCUACAGAAAUUCAUCUGUCUCUUGGUCACGAGGUGUUGGAUUUGGGGGAACUUUCUCUGCUGGAGGAGUGCAGUAGGGCAGUGCUGACGUGAUGUCUUUGGAGGCCGCGUCUUGUCUGCCAGGUGCAGUGGUGGUUUUAGGGCUCAGGUGCGAUGCCGCGGCAGCUCAAGGAGCAGCACAGCCCUCCCUCGAGGGGAUGUGACGGGCCGGGGUGACACGGCUGGUGCAGAAGGCAGCGGAGCAGUUGCAGUAGCUGUUUUGCACGGAGGUGCAAGACCAGGCGCCGAGACCCCCUCCCCGCAGAGGAGGGGGUGAGCGUGCCCUCGGCCUCGCGAGAGCCCGUCUGCUGCGGGGCCGGCUCAGGGCUCAGCCCUUCGGAACUGCCUUCCCUGGCACUAAUCCCGUCUCUGUGCACAUUUCUGAUAAAAAAGGAUGCACAAGCGGGUGAAGACGGAUGCUGUCUCCCUGCGGAGGACUGGCCCGUCCCCGGGAAACUGCAGGUGCACAAGGGGAGGUGAGAACAGCACCCCGAGGUUUCCCCCUGCCAGAGACACGUCGGAGGAGAACCCCGUGCCCCGCUCUGCCUCUAAGGGGCCGAGCCGACGCUGAGCACCUCACCUCGUCCCGUCCCCUCGCACCCUGCCCGCCUGUGCCGCCUCACCUCCCCAGGCUCAAAAGCCCUUUGGGAGCAAGAACUGUCUCUCCCUGUUUGCUGAUACAGUACCUAAAGCAGAGGGGUCCUGAGUUCAGUGGGGCCUCCAGGCGACAGGACAACAGCACUAAUAGUGAGAAUUAAUAAUUCAUUUAUCACUUUACUCUCUGUGAAUAAUCUUCAAUAAUCAUGUACAAUUUGCUGCCUCAGUGAAUACUCUGAAAGUAAACAGAGCUGGUAGAAUAAAGUCACAGGAGUGAAAACCCCACGUAAAGGGAGUGAGAAAGUGGUCGAGACUAAUUAAUUAAAAAAAUUCCAAGGAGCGUUUGUGCAUAAUCAUUUGCAGUAUUUGCCCAGUUCUAGUAAUGACCUGGAUAAAGUAAACACAGGGGAAGGCAGAUAAAAAGGAAAGAGUUGCUCAAUCUCUUACAGAGCUCUCGUUAGAGAGCCAAGUGCCCAGGUAUGAUCCCAACAAGGGGCUCCUGUCCUGCAGUCACAGCCGUGGACUGGGUGGCCUAGGGGGGCCUUCUCCCUUCUGUCACCUCCUUAUGGGGUGAAGAAAGUGCCGUGAGAGAAAACUGCUUGCCACUGAAUUCCCAGUAGGUGGGAAUUAAAUUCACAAGGUCCAAAUGAUUGAGGCAUUCAGACUGCAGAUCAAAAUCAAGCGUGCACUGGAAAUGCAGAGAAAAUUACCUUUUCACGUGGUAUUGCAUUCAACACAACUAAGGGUGAGUUUGCAUAUAACGACCCAUAAUAACUAAAUGACAUUUACUUUCCCCGUUUGCUCCUGCCUUUCCUUCUCCCGUGAUUACUAGAUUGCUGGAUCCAUAGGGCUCUGCUGAUUCAUACCUAGACUAUCUGGCCCUUAUUUUCAUCUGUCUUUAUUGCAGAGCUGCUUGUGAAGACGGCAGAUACCAGCAGCAAGGAACUGUGUUGGGCUGCAGUGUUGUUAUGGGAAACUGUUGAACCCCAGCUCUGUUACCAAAUGGAAAUCUCUUUCAGAAACAGAUUCCACUUGAUUUAUAUUGUUUUACUUGUGGCAUGGUGUUUACAGUGCCUGCUCACGUUAUCCCUCGCUGAUGUAUAGUGAUGAUGCAUAAGUUAGAUUUCACAAUGCUGAGAAAAUUAACGCUUCAGGAGAAUUUAUCACCCCCGUUAUUGAUGUUCUGUCGGUAGCAGAGCACUAAUACUCUCUCCAGAGAAACUAAUGGCACUAACAAAAAUCACUGAACUGUUCUCAUCUAAAUAUCUAGAUAAAAGAUGGCAUUUCUGUAUGCAAGAAACAUUAUUUGGUGAUAGCAAGCUGUUAUCUGUUUCCCCCUUUACGAGUUACAGGGUAUUUGUUAGGUUUUUCUUUUUUUCUGGCCAACUUUCCGAAACAUGAUUUGGCAGAUGUUAUUUACUCACGCUUUGUUCUCUUACAUCUUUUUCCACAGAAGUAUUAAAGCAUUUAAUUUUAAUUUAGGCUACCAAUUCCCAUUCCUUUCAACUGGAAAUAACAUGUCUGGAUACCUGGGAGGAUCUGAGUCUCCGUGCUGAUCUUUGCACCGCUUUGGUUACUGCCCGGCUGUCAGACAGCAUUGCGCCUCAGCCGUCCUCAGCACUGACAACACUGAAACCACGAACCUCUGAUCUUGAAUGCGAUUUGCAAAUCCUCCCGAGCAAAUACUUUUGGAGAGAUGAAGCACAGUCAAAAGCCGGAUGCAGCCUUUAUCCAAAAAUGGGUUUGGACUCGAGGUGAGACUUAAUUUUAUGUUAAAUGUGAUCAUAAAGGCUUAGAUUUUCAAGGUAUGUGGAGGGUAAAUAACCUAAUUCUUGUCAGAUGCUUUAAGCUUCUUUGAACAUGUCGUGCACAAAUCGUGAUUUUGAGGAACAUCCAGGCUGUGAGCUGGACUUUAUCAUCACGGGCUUGGGUGUGUUUGCAUCUGUCAUCUUCCAUUGCACAGUGAGCUUAGAGUUCGGUGUAAAGCCUUUUGGAGUUUGUUUUCUCAUUGCCUUUUCCCUAUCCGCAAUGUGCCCUCUCUCCCUGUGAAGAUUAGAAGCUCCCUGCGAACAUGGCUGUGAGAUGGUUUGCAGCCUCUGCAGGGGGAGCGUAGAUGAUUUUCUCCACACAGUGCAAAUGAACAGGACUUUUGCAAAACAGACUCUGUGCUAAGUGGAAAAGCAGCUGAUUCUCUCUGCGGGUGAACACCCUGCCGGUGGCUACACCUGGGGAUUGCCUAGCAAGGUCCGUGGCCAGAGAAAUCAUGUCUGUCUUCUUCAGCUAUGUUACUCGAGGGUGGAGGGGUAGUUUUUGGAUAAGAAGAGUCAUUUGAUUUCUGUGCGUAGCAGUGGACUUCUCAAGCAUAUUAAUUAGUAGAAAUGAUGGAGACAGUCUCUUCAAAAUAGACCAUUAUUAACUGACAUAUCAACAGUAAUAAACUUCACGGGGGGCAUCCGGCAGUUGCUUAGCUGAUUAGACCGAUGGUUUACCGACAGCCCCGAGCUGGAGCUGAUCAGGAGGCUGAUCCUUUGAGGAAGGAGAUUUCCAUCCAUCCCUCCCUCCCUCCCUCCCUCUCCCCAAGGCAGCUCCUGAACGGGCUGUUCGACUGGGGCAUCUCCUGGGGGCUCGUUCCUGCAGUGGCUUAAGUCAUGCCGAAUGCUGCUCAGCUGCUCCUUGAUUUCAUUGGUAGCCAGGUCUGUAAACGAAUCCCUCCAAACGAAUAUUCAGCCUUGUAUACUCCUAAGUUUGUGAAUAAAGCCCUGUUGGUGGGACCAACUGCUAGAGCUUUCCUGUGCUCAAAAAGCAUCUGCAGUUCUAGAUAGAAUAAUGAGAGUGUAACGUUUUAAAGCUAUAAGGAUUUCAAAAAUUUAAAGUUUCGGACAGCUGAUUUGAAAGUAAAAAUUCAAGCAGGGAUUUACUCAUUUUUUCAUUAAGCCACCUGAAACAAAUCACAGUGGCUGCUCAAGAUGCUUUCACUGAAGGACCGGGACGUUUGCCCGUACUAACCAAGCAGGGCCGGCUGGGGAACGGGGCCGGGGGCCGGAGCCAGCGCGGCUGCUGGACCCGCUGCCUCGGCGCGUGGAGCAUCUCCCGGCCCGGGUACCAAAUCCUUCCUGUGCUGCCCGGGGGCCGGCCGCAGCCCCGGGGGUGGCUCCCGGCGCUGAGGAGCUUCCGUCUCGCUCGUGCCGGCGCCCGCGGAUGCUCGGGGGGUCACGACGCCCGACACAACCCCCCGCGGCCCUAUGGCCUCCGCAAGCCUGCGGACCCCGGCGCUGCCCCCAGCUGAGCAAACCUUAAACCUCCAACUUCCAGGCAUGUCAUGAGACCUACGGAGUGCUUCUGCAGGACUCUGAAACCCUUGGACGACAAGCAGGCUAAAAUAUCGCUAGUCCCUGGGGAAUUUUCCCCUUCAGCGACGAGUUGGGCUUUUUAUUUAGCAAACGGUGCUGUCUGAGGACUGUCCUGACUGUGAUUAUUUCUGAGGCAAAGCAGCAGCGCAUUCACCAAGGCGCUGCUGCAUUUUUAAUAGAUUCCAGUUCAUCGCUGAAAUACAGCAAUGGAGCAAACAAUCCCUGUUGCACCACUGCAGCAAGCCUGACCUGAGGCUGCCUCCAGAAAACGCUCUACAACUUAGUGCAAAACAGGCACAUGCAGGAAUCACUGCGCGAUGUGAGCUGGUUCAAGGGGUCCUAGCUUUUUUUCCUCAGGCAAAAAUGUAUGGAGCCAGAUAAUUCACUUUUUCUGUAAGAAUGUGUCUUCCUUUGCUCUGCAUCUUUUAGUUGGGUAGCGAUCUCUUCUUGUACCUUGGCGGGAGGUCUGGGGCAGUUCAGCAAUGCUAGUAAACAACAUUACAAUAAUGCAGAUUAUGUAAAUGUACUGGGUUAUCUACCAUUUCUUGUGCUGCUUAUGGGAGCAAGUAUUUUCUGGUGUGUGAGCAGGCUGCAGAAUUGAACACUAUUCUCUUUUUAAAAAUGCUUUACAAGAACAGAAAUGUCUUCAGAGAUUCACUCGUCUGAUACCCUAACUAGUGACUGUGAACACAGCACACGCCGUGCAGAAGCCAAAUAACCCUCCAGGAAUUCUUCCUAUUAAAAUAAUUGCUAGGGCAGAGGAAUGCUGCAAACAGCUGUGGUUCAUCCCAUAAACAUAUUCUCCAUCCUUUUGGAGCCUCAGCUUCCAACUUAUGCCAGAGCCUGUCAGCUGCAGGAAUAGUGAAACUUAUUUCCUUUGCAGAAAUGAAACAAUUACCGUUGAAUAAAUAUGUUGUGCAUAGACCUGAACUAUCCAGUGGGUACUGCAUAUGCAAAAAGGAAAAAAGUGAGUGUUUCACACUGAAAUGAGCUGAAGCGACAGUUCAUCUGCCUAACACGAUGGCAGUGGAGCUGCCUUGUAUUAGCAGCCUAGCAACACUGAAUUUAAUGAAAAAAAUCCCCUGAAAUCAGCUGAGCUCUGAAUGGCAUCAUCUUGCCAUUACAGUGCCCUCGCCCUGCCUGGGAAGCAGGCUGCAAAACGCCCCGGGGGACAUGCCAAUAGAGAGAUUCCCCUGCAAACCCAUCCUCCUCCUCCUCCUCCUCCUCCUCCUCUGCAUGUGCAUCCCCACCCGGGUGUGCUGGGGGGCCGGGGCAUCCAGCCCCCCCCGCCUGCCCUGCACUGCUCCUCUGCAGAGCCGGGAGCUCCGGCGCAGAGCCGGGGCCAGGACACUCGUGCUGACUGCAAUGGAGGAUCCAGGCAGGUUGAUUUAUUCUUAAUAUGCCUUUCUCCCAGAAAUGGCCCCAAAACAAAAGCCUUGCUUGUUAGCCCAGGAUGACCGACUGGUCCCCGCUCCGUCCACCUCUGUUGGUAAGCUCCCAGUUUGUUUCAGAGGGCCGAAACUUCCCGACUGCCCCACCAGGCCACCGUCGAGGGGCCUCUCCUCUUCCUCUCCGCUCCGGCCGCGCUGGGUGUCCCCCAGCCUGCGGCUGCUUCGUGGGAUCGGCUCCUGCUUGGUGGAGGCUUCACUGCUGCGAGGAAAAGCUCUUCCCCGGGUUUUGGUUUACAGCGUUGUGAAAAAUAAAAGAUGAGGCCCCUGGGGCUGAGAAGUC